rnacentral:lncRNA from 1 species
AUGUGUCUGCUGGAAGGAAUGCCCUGCAAACCACUGGUGGCCCUGGUGGCAGCAAAGUCAGUUUUAGGUGUGGACAGAGCUAUGCUGCCCCAAGCUGAGGAGCAGAUGAGGACAGAGACAGCAACUGCAAGUGACUUCUGGAGAAGACUGGCUGUGAAGGAAAAGAGAGACACGGAGCAAUACCUGGUGGGGGGCACAGACUGGAUGGGGAGGAGUGUGGGGGGCGCAGACUGGAUGGGGAGGAGCAGAUGGGGGGGCGCAGACUGGACGGGGAGGAGCAGAUGGGGGGGCGCAGACUGGACAGGGAGGAGCGGAUGGGGGCGCAGCCUGGACGGGGAGGAGUGGAUGGCGGGCACAGACUGGACGGGGAGGAGUGUCGGGGGGCGCAGACUGGACGGGGAGGAGCGGAUCGAGGGGCACAGACUGGACGGGGAGGAGCAGAUGGGGGGGCGCAGACGGACGGGGAGGAGUGUGGGGGGCGCAGACUGGACGGGGAGGAGUGUGGGGGGCGCAGACUGGAUGGGGAGGAGCGGAUGGAGGGGCACAGACUGGACAGGGAGGAGCGGAUGGGGGCGCAGCCUGGACGGGGAGGAGUGGGUGGCGGGCACAGACUGGACGGGGAGGAGCGCAUGGGGGCCACAGACUGGACGGGGAGGAGCGUGGGGGGGCGCAGACUGGACAGGGAAGAGUGUGGGGGGCGCAGACUGGACGGGGAGGAGUGUGGGGGGCGCAGACUGGACGGGGAGGAGCGGAUGGAGGGGCACAGACUGGACGGGGAGGAGUGUGGGGGGCGCAGACUGGACGGGGAGGAGCGGAUGGAGGGGCACAGACUGGACGGGGAGGAGUGUGGGGGGCGCAGACUGGACAGGGAGGAGCGGAUGGGGGCGCAGCCUGGACGGGGAGGAGUGGGUGGCGGGGCACAGACUGGACGGGGAAGAGCGGAUGGCGGGCACAGACUGGACGGGGAGGAGUGUCGGGGGGCGCAGACUGGAGGGGGAGGAGCAGAUAGGGGGGCGCAGACUGGACGGGGAGGAGUGUGGGGGGCACAGACUGGACAGGGAGGAGCGGAUGGAGGGGCACAGACUGUACGGGGAGGAAUGUCGGGGGCGCAGACUGGACGGGGAGGAGCGGAUGGUGGGGCAAUAG